UGCCAUUGAUGUUCUGAAUGAUUUAAGGGUUUUGACUUCGUAAACUUUAACUUUCAUGCAGGGUUCCCACAGUCAUGGAAGACCUGGAAGUGUCAAAGUGAUUUCCAGGCCUGGAAAACUCAUUCAAAUUAUUAUGUAGUGAAUUUAAUAAUUCAUGAGAUAGAAAUUAGUCUGUGCGAGUGCCAUCUUUAUAAAAUAAAUAAUAAUAAAACAACUUAAAAACCAUCUUGAAAUUAGGUCAAAAGGUGUGGGAACCCUGCUCUUUUUUUUCUUUUUUUUUCCCUUGAUUUAGUUUUAUUAUAUUUUCCAGAGAUUGUUUUUUAAUGCAUACACAGAUUUAGUAAGAUUUCAAAGAUUGUUUGAUAUUAAUGGGAAAGGUGUCAACAAAUGUAUAUUAAUGUAGCAUAGAUUUUAAAUCAAGCUGUAAUAUUCAGCAGCCUGCAGUCAUUUCAUCCUGGUAAAUUUCCAUGCAGUGUUCUUAGCAUCAAUGUGCAAAUGGUUGUUUUUUUGAGGAAUGCAGUGCUGUGUGAUGGAUGUUUGGUUGUUCUCAUUAGGGUUGUGACGUCUCUUACUAUUCUGCUGCCAGUCAAAAGUUUGGACACACCUAAUUUUAUUAUACACUUUAGAAUAAUAGUAAAGUCAUUAAAACAAUAGAAUUACAUGAGUUAUUCAGUGAACAGAAAUUUUAAACAAAACUUCUUAAGGUGCAUCCUGCUAUUCAAAAAAGUUUACACGUUGGCUGCUGGAACUUUAAUUUUCACUCUAACAAGUCGGUUUAAAACUGUUCAAUAAAAAACAUUUUGCAAAUGGUUUGUAAAGAAAUUCGUUUGUAGGCAGUUUAUCUUUUGGAUACCCCAAUGUGUAAAAAAUGAAAUGAGGAGUGUCCAGAUUUUUGUUUGGUAAGGUAGCAUGUGUUUUCAUUUCUACAAUCGUUGAUUUAACAUUUUAUUGAAUAGUUUUUUGGAUUUUAAUGUGUUGGUAAUGAAGUCAGUUAUUUAGUUUAAUAUACACUACGAUUCAAAAGUUUGGGGUCUGUAAGAUUUUUUUUUAAAAAAAAAUCUCUUAUGCUGGUCUCUUAUGCUCACCAAGGCUGCUUUUAUUUGAUCAGAAAUGCAGUACAGUAAUAUUGUAUGUGAAAUAUUAUUACAAUUUAAAAGAACUAUUUUCUAUUUGAAUAUAUUUAAAAAUGUAAUUUAUUCCUGUGAUGCAAAUCUGAAUUUUCAGCUUCAUUACUCCAGUCUUCAGUAUCACACGAUCCUUCAGAAAUCAUUCUACUAUACUGAUUUGGUGACUAGAAAUGUUUCUUCUUCUUCUUCUUCUUCUUCUUAUUAUUAUUAUUAUUAUUAUUAUCGAUGUUGAAAAAGUUGUGCUGAACUGCAGAUAUUUUUGUGGUAACAGUGAUACAUUUUUUCAGGAUUCUUUGAUAAAUAGUUCAAAAGAACAGCAUUUAUUUGAAACACUAUAGCACCUGUGUCUUUACUGUUACUUUUGAUCAAUUUAAUGUGUCCUUGUUGAAUAAAAGUAUUACUUUCUUUAAAAAAAUUUUUACUGAGCCCAAACAGUAGUGUAUACAUGUAAGGCAUGGGUUGAAGUUGUUUUUAAUAUGCAGUGAGGUUGUAUGUGUACGGAUAUUUCAGAAAGAUAUGGUUAAUAUGUACCAGUAUGACAAUCUGUCAGAACUCAAACAAGCAUGCAAACAAAAAAUGUUUCUUGUUUGCUUCCGGAUGUCACAAGCAUGCCUGAAAUGACAGUGCUUUCUCAAUUGAAAAGGGACAGUACAUAUUUGGUGACACAGUUUCAGUUGAGAAGUGUCGCUGCUCGGCUUCCUCUUAGAUGCUUGACUUUCAGUUCCAGCGUUGCAAGUUGUACACAAUAUAUCAACUUGUUGGCAUACUCGAGAGGAAAUGGUGAACUGUCAAGUGCUUUAGAUGGCUCUGUGGCUUUAGCUCAUGUACUAGUCGAAGUAUAGUCUGAGCAGGCAGCGGCCUCUAAACUCAAGGGCUGGAUCUCAGCACGAUGCCUCCUACGUGCCAUUCACUCGCCUAGCCCGGGGUAAAGACGCUUGUCACAAACUGGUGACACCUUUUGUAGCUGAUAUGCAAAGGAGGGCCUGUGAUAGAAAGGCCUAUCACGUAGCGAACAGAAGACCUUCCCCUAUGUUUUACUUCUAGAGAUAAGGUUGCUCCUCUACAUGGUUAACUUUUUUCAUAAUUUUUGUCCCUUUAUUGCGCUUUUAAAAGGCAGAGACAGCCAUCACGCCCCAUUUAUGACUUGAAAGACAUUGUUUUCGCGUUAUUUACAUUCUUUAUGUAUAGGGGCACAAGUAUCCUUGGUCAUCUGACAGCCAGUUGUUCAGAUAACGUGAUGGGUGAUUUCCUCGAGCAUUCCUAUUCAGAAAUUACUGACAUUUUUGUGGAUGCCAUGUAUUUGUCUUUGUUCCCUCAUGAAAGUAUUUUAAAAUUGUUCAUUGAGCAGACGCUGUUUUGUUUUCUAUUUAGUUGCCUAGUGCAGUUAGAGUUAUACUUGGUACAUACAGUAUGGUUUGAUUGGCACAGCUCACAGCUUCAGUUUUUUUUUUUUUUUUUUUUUGAGUAUUGAUUUAAAUAAUGUAUAGGAAUUUUGUUAAACAUCAGUCAUUAUCUUAAAAUCAAAAUAAAAUGUAAGAAAAUUAAACUACUGCUCAAAAGUUUGGGGUCAGUAAGUUUUUAAUUAUUACUUUUAUUCAGCAAGGACACAUUAACUUAAUUAAAAGUGGCAGUAAAGAUUUAUAAUGUUACAAAAAGAUUUUUAUUUUAAAUAAAUGCUGUUCUUUUAAAUUAUAUUCAUCAAAGAAUUCUGAAAAAAAUUGACAUUUUAACAAAAAUAUUAAGUAGCAUAACCUUGAUAAUAAGGAGCAUUUCUAGUUAGGGCUGCACAAUUUGGAGAAAAAAAUCUAAUUGCGAUUUUUCUGGUUAAAAUUGUGAUUUGCGAUUUUAAAAUGCGAUUUUAUAAAAUAAAUGAGAAAAAAAAAAAAAAAAAAAAAAUUAUAAACAAUACCAGGCUUGUUUUGCUUGUUUGUAGGGCUGCACAAUUUGGCCCGAAAUUUUGUGCUAAUAUAUUAUUUUGACUAAUUAUUAUUAUUAUUAUUAUUAUUAUUAUUAUUAUUAUCAUUAUGCUAAAUAAAAAUAUUAAACCAAAUAAGAAAUAUUACUGUUGUAAUAACUUUCAUUAUUAAAGUAUUUAUCAAUAGUAUUUAAUUAUAAAUAUAACUAUAAUAAUUAGCAAAUAAUAUUUAAAACUUGUAUGACAAAAUGUGGUGUUACCUGUUAACAUGCAAGCAGUAUGUCUAUAAAUCAUUAGAAAGAUCUAAGGAUUUAUUAUCAAAUAUUAUAUUAUUAUGAUAAAAAUCUGUCUCAAUAAUUUCUUUAUUUUUGUCAAGAGGUAUGCAAAAUCAAAAAUGGAGUCCAUGUAUUUAAUAUGAACUACGUGCCCCUUAUGCAUCCACUGUGGAAAAAAAAACCCUGUACACUUAUGUAUGCUGGAGAAAAACAUAAUGAUUAUAUGUUCCCCUCAAAGUUCUUUAGAGAGAGGAAUUAUUUUUCCUAUUUUUACCCUGAAUAGGAUUGAGUGAGCUUUACUUGGCGCUAAACAUGUCUGUUUCAUACUGGACGCCGGAGGGCGCCCUUGAGCAGAUACUCCAAAUAUACGCAAUAUAACAAACGCUGUUCCAAGAAAUCCCCAAUGGGCAUCAUCCUGUCGCUGUGACUGAAUAAAAAGAAGGUAGAAACGCUUUGAUUGAUUAAACAUGAAUACAAUAAACAGACGACUACAAUAAUACAUGGUUUAUAUAUUUUCUUCAAGCCUUCUCGGGUAUUUCCGUAAUAAUAAAGUAUAUUUAUAAUCCAAUGCUAAUCAAAAUGCUAUUUCAAACACUCAGCUGACGUUAUGAAGUGAGUUUGACAUAAAAACACAUUAAAUGUUGUGUUUUGUUAGAAAAGAAGUUCAUAAAGGCUUCUCAUGUUUGGAAAGUUUGUAUAUUUGACGUGUUGCUUUUUGUAAUGCAGUGCUCUCAGAUGGAGUGUCAUUUACUACUGAUCACAGAGCAGCUCUUCACUAACACGCUGUGUACAUAUUUAUAUAAUUAAAAAUCGCAGGCUUUGCGAUGUCAUAAUCGCACUAAGCCAAAUCGUGAUUUCGAUUCGAUUACGAUUAAUCGUGCAGCCCUAUUUCUAGUCACCAAAUCAGCAUAUUAGAAUGAUUUCUGAAGGAUCAUGUGACACUGAAGAGUGAAGACUGGAGUAAUGAUAAUGAAAAUUCAGAUCACAGGAAUAAAUUACAUUUUAAAAUAUAUUAAAAAAGAAAACAUCACAAUUAGGGAUGUAACGAUUCACUCAACUCACGAUUUGAUGCGAUUCAUGAUACUGGUUUUACGAUUCAAUUUUCUCACUUUUUUUUAACAAAAUGAGAUUUAAAUGAGAGUGUCUUUUUUAUUAUUUCUCAGACAAAAUGCUGCAUAUUUCAUUGUGAAAUUGAAAUAUCUUUAUAACAAAACUAAAUUGAAAUUUUAAAACAGAUCCUAAAUCAAAUAAAUAAAAAAAUAAAUACUACAAAUAAAAUAAAUCUCUUCAUAGGAGUACAUGAACAAGAUGUUUAUUUGCUCUAUUACAGGCUGAACUAUCUGUAGCCAUUUAAAAUUAGAGGCAACCACUGCAUUUUAAUCACGAUCCCAACAAAGAUGCUGCAUACAUGCAGCAAGAGCAGUUUUUAAUUUAAAUUAGAUUGUAUACUUUUUAACAUUUGAAGCAAAAAACAGAAUGUUCAGACUUUAGCUUUGUGAAAUUAUGCUACAUAAAACUUCAUAACAGCAGACGGGCUGCAUGAGAACGCACUCUGUCUUCACAGCAGGUGGUGCUUAGGUUACCGCUGUAAACUGCGCUAUAAAAGUACUUUAAAAUGCAUUGUACGGAAGUAAGAUGAAAAGAAAAUACCAUAUAAACUUUUCUGAACCCAGUCAACUCUCCUCACAUAUACAUUCAUAUAAACCCCCGCCCCAACAUGUAUCGCGAUUCAUUUAGCAUCUCAACCGACUUGAAUCGUCACGUUUUAAUCGAUUUUCAACCGGUUCCGGAUGUAUCCUUACAUCCCUAAUCACAAUAUUACGGUUUUUACUAUAUUUUUGAACAAAUAAAUGCAACGUUGGUGAGUAUAAGAGACUUUUAAACUACUAUUGUAUUUUGCACAAAGAAUUUUUUUUUUUUUUAUAGAAACAGUAGGAUUGUGAUAUGACAGUUCAUGACAGUUAAACACAUUUCUUGCACCAAUUCUCAUUACUUUAAUAGAGGUUUUCUUUUUUGUGUGUGUGAUUCCCUGUUUUUAUGGAGUUAAACUGCAGUCAAUGCAGUAAUUUAACUGUAAUACAAAUGAAAAAAUACUGUAAUUUUUUUUUUAAAUUACAACAUCAUGUGAUGCAUUUUGGUAAUGAGAGUAAAAUGGGAUGAAAUGUGCUUGAUUGUUAUUGAAAAUGCUAAAAUGGUCUUAACACUUUUUUUAUUUUUCUUAAACAAAAAACAAACAAACUUUGUUUGUUUUGAUUCUGGGUGAAAUAUGACAUGGACAUGUUGUGCAAAAUCCACCCAAUCAGUUCAACUUACAAAACAUUAAAAGUAUCACACAGUCAUUCACAACAUAGGCGUAGUCUGAGGCCUGCAGAGUAACAUUUAUUAAUUACUUUGUCCCAUAUGUGAUAUUGUUUGACGUUCUAAGUAUUGGGAUUAUGAGUCUUAACAUCUGAAUGUGUUUUACAUGAAUUAGCUCAUUGUGCAACAUGAGAUCACAUUUUGCCCCAUCUGCUGGUUAGAAUGUGGAACCACUUACAUUUUUGCCUUUUUUGUGAUGUGAUGAUGCACGUUUGCAUAUAACAUCCCUGACAAAUAACCAGAUAUGUAAGACAGACCAAUAGAAUAUGAAGAUUAGCAUUAAAAAGUUAUAGCCGGCCUUCAGUUGACAUUACCUUCAGCUUUCAGGGCUCAGUUACAAAACAAUUGUUUGACCUACUCUACUAGUCGUAUAUAAGUACAGAUCAUUUGUCAAGUUUCAUACAGUGAUUCAUUUGUGCAACUGUCUCAAUCUCUCAACACCAGCGCAGGUUAGAAUGCACUUUUUCACCCAAUCUGGUCAUCUCUCUCUAAUGCCUCUCUGUGUUCUCGAACCUCAAAGCGUCUUUGUAUUCGGCAAGCAUUCUCUCUUUCUGUUAAAACAUGCUUCUCUCAACACCUCUGUUCCAGGUAAUACCGCUGACAGUAAAGCAGUACACAAUCUGUCAGUCUUCAGAACACACUUUUCAGGUACUUCCUGUGGGGGAACUUCUGUAGGCCUUUGCUCAUGUAGAGUUCCCAUCUCAGUUUUGUCUUAAGAAUGAAAGCUUGUUCUUUCAUGUUGUGCAAGCAGCAGUCACACUAAAUUUUUAAGCAUGCAAAUUUUCACACUUAUAAGUGGCUGAUUUAGCACACUGUGUAGGCAGCAACCCGAUGUAUCAUACAAAUAGCACUUCUUAUGUGGAGUGCACUAAUUGAUUCCAUUAUGGCGCUUUUUCACUGCAUGGUACGGCUCACUUUUUGGCGCUUUUCCACUGCACGGUACAGAAUGGUAUGACUCGCAUAAAUAGUACCACCUCGGUUGAGGUUCCAAGCGUGUCAUACCGAUAUUAAAGGGUUAGUUCACCCAAAAAUGAAAAUUCUGUCAUUAAUUACUCACCCUCAUGCCGUUUUACACCCGUAAGACCUUCGUUGAACUUCGGAACACAAAUUAAGAUAUUUUUGUUUAAAUCUGAUGGCUCCGUGAGGCCUACAUAGGGAGCAAUGACAUUUCCUCUCUCAAGAUCCAUAAAGGUACUAAAAACAUAUUUAAAUCAGUUCAUGUGAGUACAGUGGUUCAACAUUAAUAUUAUAAAGCGACGAGAAUAUUUUUGGUGUGCCAAAAAAAACAAAAUAACGACUUAUUUAGUGAUGGCUGAUUUCAAAACACUGUUUCAGGAAGAUUCGGAGCGUUAUGAAUCAGCGUGUCGAAUCAUGAUUUGGAUCGUGUGUCAAACCACCAGACUGCUGAAAUCACGUGACUUUGGCGCUCCGAACUGCGGAUUCGACGCGCUGAUUCAUUACGCUCCGAACUAACCCUUUAAAUGUGACGUGUAAACACUGCAGAUCACUGAUUGGUCAGAGAGAAUCGUCACUACCAGCGUCAUUGGAUUUGAAGCAGGAGACACCAAACCCGCUAGAUUUAAAUAGUCAGUAACAGCCGCAGUAUUAUUUGUUCGUGCGACUUUUUUUAAACGACUUGCUUUAAACAACCGUCGCACACAACUUGAAAAAAGAAAUGGUCAUGGCUGUAUCGUGGUCAGUAGACAAGGUGCAGACUCGUUGGUAGACGAGGAGCUCACCCACAGCAGUAGAGGCGGUGCAACUAUAACUAUCAGUCUAUAAUCCCACCCACUUUGAAGCGAUACUAAACUGCAGUGGAAAAGCAAACUGAAAGUAAAGCGCGCCAAACCGAGCCGAGUUGUACCAUGCAGUGGAAAAGCGCCAUUAGAGUUUGUUGCUGAGAUAACAUCACAAUACUCUAAGCUUAAAAAAUACACAGCACACACUUAAAGGGGUGGUUCACUGUUUUUUUUUUUUUUUUUUUCCCUCUAGGCUUAAUUGUGUUUAUGGGGCAUAGUUUAACAUGUCUUAAUGCUUUGUUUUUAAAAAAACGCCGUAUUUUUCAUAUAUUUUACCUUUAUUCUACACCGCUGCCAACCCGGAAGUUAGCGGUGCACGGGUUCCCUCGAUCGAAAGCCUAUGCGUUUUUCCCAUAGACUUUUGGAAAAUCGCAAAAAAUAAGCUCUGUGUUUAACAAAGGAUUAUGACACUUACACGUUUUGUCCGUCAAGAUAAUCUUUACAAGUUAACACAACAUUUAUACAUUUUGAAGCCUAAAUUUAAAAACUUUUUUUUUUUUCUUUUUUUUAGGGUAGCUUUUUCUUGAUUGUCUUGAUUUUUAUCUUUUGUAUGUAUGUUUUUUAUUUAUAUAUAUAUAUAUAACUUGUUUUGCUUUGUGUGUGUGUUGUAUUCUCAUUUGCUUGUUUUAUGUAAAGCGCCUUGAGAAGCUACUUUAAAGGUGCUAUAUAAAAAUAAAGUUGUUAUUAUUAUUAUUAUUAUUAAAUAAAGUCGUCAGAUAUAAAAAGCUAACAGUAGGCUAUAAACGGACUACAGCACACCAUGGUCGCGGAUCAACGGCACCACCACCAAGCUUCCUCAAACUUUAUUUAAAAAACAACUUUAUUUAAAAACAUGCUCGCUGAUUAUGAUCUGCGCUGUGUAUGAAUACUUAUCCACUUUUUCAUAAGAAAUGCUGUCCAAAUGUCCUGUUUGUCAUGACAUCUAAAGUCCCCGCCAAAGGAAGUCCCUUUUAGCAAUUUGUUAGCAACCGCCAUUUUUAAGACACAAUAAAGGUUUAAAAAAUCACAAGUGGGUUAUAACUGGUGUUUUAUGUCAUAGAUCAAAACGUGAAAAUAUUUAGAGGCUUUGUUAACCACAGACCUUAUUUCAGGCGAUUUAGCAAAAACCCAUUCAAAAAACCCAUAGACUUUAGGACGAUGGAACCGGAAGUCCUAAAAUGCUAACUCGCUUCCGGGUUCCAGUCUUUGCUAUGGCGGAAAUGUAAAUAAUAGCGUCAAUAUUGCCAUAUCAAUUUGAGCCCGAAUCAGACCCAGAUAGCAGUAAUGAUGAAGAGGGUCAAGCAGAACCUCUGCAAGCACGGCUUUUAAAGGGCGCUUAUGAAUGUUAAGUAUUUUUGUUUGUAUUUGUGUCAGUGUUUAGAUAUGCUGUCACUUGUAAAUGUUACUGCUGCCCCAUAGUGUUCUGAUUAAAGCUUUACUGUAGCUGAAUACAUGACUGAGUAGUAGCAUUUUUGUAAAGGUAUUGUUUAAUUUAUAGCAUGAAACGAGCAUGUGGGUAAACACAACAUAAAAGCCGUAAUGAAACAAUGCUGUACACUGAUAACAGAAACGCCAACAAACACCAACAGAAGUUCGCUGGUGUGAUUACAUAGAAGUUUGUUGGUGUUUGUAGGCGUUUGUUGAAGAAGUAUGAAAAAGAAUUUAGCUAACUGGCUGGCGAAGCCAAACCGCGUUGGUCUUUGUUUACAUCCCAGAAACUAUAUAACUUUAUAAAAAAAAUAAAACAUACUUACAGGUUGGUGCCCAUAAACAGCAGCUUCUGCUUUUAAAGUGGGAACUGCUCCAUCUUUCAGUAAUAGUCUUUGUGCAAAUCCAGCAUUGAACUUGUGUAGAUUCUGGAAGCUGUCUUCUGUAAAAUGUGCAGCACAGACCGCUAAAUUAGCAUUGUAAUUGUCAGGAACAGAAUUAAACAUAAAUUUUAAACAUUGUUCCCAAAGUCCAGCGUCCCUAGGAAGAAGACUUGUAUGCACACAACAUGACCUCGCCCACUUUUUUGUGUGUUCCCGGGGGCAGAGUUUAUGUUAAUUGUAGGGUUUAUGAUGUCACCAACCUGGGAAGAAGCUUGUUGUAGUCCAAACCGGUUGUUUUUGUCGGCAUUAAACUGCCAUAACUUUAAAAGACAAUAUCUCCAUUUGCAUUGAACUUUUAGCACUAACUUUGCAGAUACUAAUGUGGUGGCUUUCUCUGUGUUGCAGCAUUUAUUAAAACAUGUUUAUGUCAUAUUGUACUAGCAGAAUAUGCCAAGAGUGAGGGUCUGAUUCAGCCAGAUGUUUAUGAGAGGGCGUUUCUGGACAUAUCUGUUGCUGAUUUCUGUAUGUCACCUUUUAUUCACUCAAUCUGUUUAUAUUUACCAUAGUCACAUUUAGUUUUUAGCCAUACCUUAGCUUUUCCACACCCAUCUAUGAAUUUGCAGUGUUUCCAUUCAGAUGUUUUUAUGCAUAUUUUGAAUUUAUGCAUAAAAACAGCUGGAUUGGAAACAAGACUACUGUUACAUUAUGUUGAGAAUUUAUAUUAUACUAAUUUAAUUUAAUUUUCAUAUUGUUCAUACUGUUGAGAAAAUAUUUUACAUUGCCAAAAAAAAAAAUUCUAAACAAUUCAAAGUUUGUACUGUCGGGUUACUUUUGAAACAUUUGAUGAAACUGAAAUUCUCAAUUUAAAAUGAAAAUGUAAUUUAAUAUUUUUUUUUGCAAAGAUAAAGGACAAAAUAUGUUUGCAGUUACAUAUUAACAAGGUCAUAGUCAGGUAUAUCUAAUAAAAACAAGACAAACGCAAAAAAUCUAGCUUGUAUUGCUGUGUUACUUUUGACCCACCUGUGUGUUACUUUCGUCCCAACUGACCGGGUCGAAAGUAACAAUGUGCAAUUUAUGUUCAAAGUGAAAUUAUACUGAAGCCGUUCUACAUUUGUACAAAAUACCACCUGGUAUUGAUAGACCACACUUGUGAGUUAUUGACCACAGCAAAAAUAUAUUGCUGUCUAAAGCAUAUUUUAAAAGUACAUUUUUGUGAAAAAUGGUAUUUUCGUUCCUGCUCUCCCCUACAGUGUUGUUCAGUGCAAGAUUUUGAUGUUAUUUAAGCUAAAAUAAAGUAAGGGAAAAUAUUUGCACUAACUGUUAAAAACUAGUACUGUAUGAUAGAUACAAUGAUAGAGACACAGCUGUUUACAUUUUUUAAGUAUGGCAAAAAUAUUUUAGUAAUGAAAUUUGAAGUAAAUGAGAAGUAAUGCAAAGGAAAGUAAAUUCUCAGAAAUUGUGCGCUUUCUUGUGCUUGAAUGUUAAAAUGGCCCUCCUAUGAGGUGUCAAUCGCAGCAAUGGCCCCCAGCCAAUUUGAGUUUGAGACCCCUGCUUUAGAGGCAAUUACUGGAACAGUCUCAGGAGUGUAUCAAUUGUUGGAUGUGCACCAGUGAUGCCCAAAUAUGCUGCCUAUGUAGGCUGCUCAGUAGUUUUUGUAAGUCUUGUGUGACCAUCCCUCACGUUUUAAAUGUUGGAAAGACUUGAAAUGCCUUGUUUUGGUUGUCGGCAUCAUGAUUCACACUGACUCGUACACCUUGUCUUUCUUCCUGUUCAAACCAUUUCACAUGUUCUAAUGGCAAAUGCAUUUGCUCUGAUCCGCUUCAGAGGUAUAAAUAAUGUACUACACUGACCUCAGUGAAAAUGAUAAUAUUUGCUGGAAGCUGUAGUAUCAACACGUAGAUGUGUGAUGUCGAAUGCUUUCUAAACAAAUGAUCCUGAUGUUUAUUGGAUCCAGAUAUAAUAUGCUGUCCCCAUGAGGUUACAUGCAUAGUAAGAAGAAAAAGAGCCCUUUGGAGGAGUGUGGUUGUGGGGUCUCGGCCCCCACCGGAGAACAGCCAGUGUUCCACGGAUUCUAGGAAAAGCUGUUUGCUCAGAGUCCAGAUAUUCACACAUGCGGUAAAUCUACUCCUGUCCCCUCCCAUUCCUAUAUAGAGGGCUUUGGAGAGGAGGGUCUCCUCCUGCCUAACUGCUGUAGCCCUCCCAUCCUGAUAUAGGACAUUCUGUCCUUUUUCUUAAAGAAAAGGCCCUGAUAGUUUGGGGAAAUGGAGGUAAUGUGGUCCCCUACCUUGUUGAGACUUAUCACAAGAUCUUAAGUGAUUUCUCAACUUUUUAAUACUCUGACCAAUCUUUAUUUAGAUGCUUAGGAUUCAUAAUUGUAUCUUUAAGUGUCAUUGAAACUAAGUUAUAAUACAUGCUGUGUUGUUUACCUAUGACUGGGCAAUAUACAUAGAAAUUCUGUCUAUGUAUUCUGUCUAUUUUUUUUAUUCUUUAUUCUUUAGAUUUUAUAUAUAUAUAUAUGUAUUUGCUCUAAAAAGACUUUAAAUGGGAACUUUGGGCAUUGUUGCAAAUUAUUUUCAAAAUAUAUAGUGCGAUUUAAUUAAAGUGAAAGAGAAAAUCUAGUGACAAACACUACAGUUCAAACGUUUGGGGUCAGUACAAUAUUCUUUUUAAAUAAAUUAAUAAUUAAAAAAACAUUUUAGUUACAGUAAAGUAGGGCUUGGCAAUAUGACCAAAAUCUUAUAUCAGGAUAUGAGUCAUUUUAUAUCACGAUAACGAUAUAUAUAACGAUAUAGUUAUUUUUGCUUUAAAUAAGAUUUUUAUAAUAUCAAAAUUUUCCAUAUCAUUGAAAUUUCAUAAUUAUCAUCAAUUUCAAUAAUUUAUUUAAAAAAUUAAUACUAGCCUAAAAAACUCUCAAGCUUACUGAAGACAAACUGUGAUAAAGAAAGAGCAAAGAAAACAAACUACAAUAGAACAAAGACAGAUGAAAUAGACCUACAUGAAAAAACUUCAAGCACUAGAAAAUGUAUAAAGUAAUCAAAGGUAAAAAAAACAAUGCAUAGUCUUUACUGUGUAAACUAAAUAUACAUUUAUUCUUAUUAAAGUUACAAAAGCAAGCAGUGAGAGAGUUUCUCUUUUGUUGUUUGAUUAACAUUAAUAAUGACAGCAGGUAAAUUUGGAUGCUGUCUCUUUAAGACUGACUGCACCGAUCCAUUAACUCAAUCGAGCCUUGUCUUUCUCAACUGUACCUUCACUUAAGACAUAAGGCUCUGUUUACUUGCAAAUACUUGGUCACUUUGGCACAUAGGUAUGUGUAUUUAACCGUUCAAGCCCAAUUAGGCCUCAAAAAGCACUCAGUUCAGUCCUCACACGCUCUAUGAGCAGCAGCUUCAUGUCGUGCGUCUCUCAGAGAGCGCGAACAUAUGCUGAAAUCAGGGGCGCUGUUAGGGCCCAGGACGCUAGGGGGGCCCCAAAUCACGACUUUGGAUUUUUUGUGUGUGUGAUUUUAUUUUUUAUUUUUUAUUUUUUUUUUUCCUUACAUACACCAACACGUUAACUAAUAAUAUUGUAGUAAAAUACAAUUUAAAUCUGUAAAUUAUAGAAAGUAAGAAGUGAACGUGAGCACCCUCUCUCGUCACUUCAGAACACAGCGCAUGACAUAUUAACCGCACAAAAAAGAACAGGAUGGAUGGAAAGAAGCACCUGUCAGGAACACAAAAGUGAAAAUGUAAAAAAUAAAAAAAGUAGGGAUGAAGACGUUAAAAGGAAGUUUUCCUUACGAAAUGGGCCCCUUACAAAUAAGAAUAAACAGUUGGAGAUGAUUGUUGGUCGCGGAUGUGUCGAAAGACCCAAUUCAAGAAGUCUGUUGUGCAGGCGGUCUUCUGUGUGGGUGCAAAAACUUUAUUCUUCAGAGAAACCUUGAAUCAUUAUUUCCGAAUUUCUUUGUGUUGGCUGGGGAUAUUUCUAUAUUCUAUGGGCUCUAUAUAUUCGCGAGGGCAGGUCCGAAAUUGCGUUCCGGGGGGGGUGGCGGUUGUGAGUUUCUCCCUCGGUAGAAAUCGCAUCUCGGUGGGGAGAAAUGGGAACGCGGGGGCACCGUGAUGUGACCGCAAAGGGCACUUUCACUUUCGCUCAAGCCCCCACACCCCCACCCCCCUGUGCACGCCACUGUGUUAGUUGAUAUAAUGCGCCAUGAGUUUCCACCACAUUUCAGAGGAUCUGUUGGAUUUACAUCACGUAAAUUCCAUUUUAAAAUCCAUUUUCCCCAUUUUCAUACACAAUCUGUAUCUGAUAUAUAUAUAAAUCACUUCGUCAAAUUAUAUAUUUGAAAGGAUAGCUAUGCAGCUUCCAGUGUAGGCCUAUGGAAUUUGAAUUUAAAAAACUAUAAAUGUCUUCGCCAGCCAAAGCGCCAGCCAAAGCGCAAAAGCACGUUUGAAUUAUCAGUGACGCACUGAACGUUCUAAUCGAUCGAAUCGAUCGGUUGAAAUCGAUCACGUUUCGAGGGUGGAGGGGGGAUGUUACUUGAAAUAAUAUAAAUGUUAACUAAUAAAUUAUUUCAAUCUCUUAUUAAAUGUCAAAAAAAAAAAAAAAAAAAAAAACUAUUCAUCUGGAAGAAGGGGGCCCAAAAUUUUGUCUUGCAUACCCCCCUUAAAACUCUUCACGGCGCCCCUGGCUGAAAUGAGUUUUCUUUCGCUGCUAAUUGCACUUAAACGGUUUAAAACCACUUGUUUUAAAA